rnacentral:lncRNA from 1 species
UACAAAUAUACGCUGCUCUGGCCACCUCUGGGUAGAGCCAGCCACGGUUGUUAAGAUGGGUGUAAAUAUCUCUAUAUAUUGCCAAGCAGCCAUUAAGAACUGCCAACCAAGGAGACUUAAUUUUUAUAAAAAUGGCAUAAAAGAAAGAUUUCAAAUCACAAGGAUUAAUAACACAAGAGCUCGGCUUUGGUACAAAAACUUUCUGGACCCACAUGCAUCUAUAUACUGCACUGCUGAAUGUCCUGGACGUGUUCAAGAGACACUGAUAUGUGGAGAAGAUGUUUUUUCUGGGUGUAAGUUUUGGGGCACAUUCACAAAACAAACCCAAAUUAGUCUAAUAAUGCACUGGUAAUUGCUAGGCUUAUCUGAAAACAGGCAAAUUGACAUAGUUCAUCUCUUAGUUGGGCUUAAUACAGGAACUUCUAAUGCAAACAUCUCCAGGGUCAGGUUAGUGAACUGUAAGUUAAGGAUGCUGGUGGGAUCUGUGCGGAGAAGACGGCCUGUGGACUGGGUACAACCCUUGCUCAGAUCCAGCCUUCAUAGGGGUCCAGUAUGCCCAGAUCUUUUGACUCUCCAAAGGAAGUCAAAAAUAUGAAUGUUUAAUACAAACUCUCCAAAUUUUAAAAUAUUGAGAAAGCAUUCAAAACACAAUGAUUUUCACCUCCAGCCUGGCCAGACAGGGCAUAUGUGAAAGUUAGUGCCUCAGAUUUAAAAUGUUGCCCGUUUCUUUUUCUCACUUAUGCUUUUCAUUCAUUUCCAAACUAACAUCAUUACCCUUGAAGAAGAUAUCAUUCAGAUAUUUUAAGAAGAUAUCAUUCAGAUAUUCUGAGACCAAGAUUCACAAACUAGUUUUGUGUUAUCAUCAUAUUCCUUACUAUCUGUGUAACGUUGGGCAAUUUGCUUAACCAUAUGAACUUAAGUUGCUUGUCUGUAAAAUGAAGCUAAUUUUACUAGCUGGGUUAAUUACUAAAUUUCAAUAAUUUACUUAAAUGCAUAUUAUAAAAUUUACAGUAAACACCAGUGCCUAAAUCCUUAAAAAUGUGUCUUGGGGUGGGGGAUACUAGAAAUUGAACUCAGGGGCACUCACCCACUGAGCCACAUCCCCAGCCCUAUUUUGAAAUUUUUUUUAAUAUUUAUUUUUUACUUGUAGUUGGACACAAUACCUUUAUUUAUCUAUUUAUUUUAUGUGGUGCUGAGGAUCGAACCUAGGGCCUUGCAUGUGCUAGGUGAACGCUCUACCACUGAGCCCACAAUCCCAGCCCCCUAUUUUGUAUUUUAUUUAGAGACAGGGUCUCAGUAAGUCGGUUAGUGCCUCGCAGUUGCUGAGGCUGGCUUUGAACUCGAGAUACUUCUGCCUCUGCCUCCUGAGCAGCUGGGAUUAUACCACCAUGCCCAGCAAAAAUAUGUCUUUUUUGACAAAAUGUAGGUAGAAGCUCAUACAACCCCCUGCUUCUAAUCCCAUUACCCCUAUCAUGAAUCACUGUUUGUUGCUGUAAUUACUAAGAAAAAAUUUAGUCAAGUUAAUCUGAAAAAUAUAUGCCAAUUUAAGUUGUGUUCAUAGUAUUCUAAAAGUUUUGAAGUUACUGCAGUAAGAUGAGCUGACUUAUAUAAUUAUAUAAUACUUUGUUCUUGGUUCUACUAUUAUGAAGGAUACAUCAGAUCAGCAGUGUUUUAAUCCAGACGUUCUCUAUAGAGAAUGUUGCCCAUUGUCAGUGAAAGAUAAGGGCUUUGGGGGUUUUACCAUGUUCCUAUCCUCCAUGCUUUUGAGAAUCAGAUCUGAGUUCUUGCUUCCUCCUACCCUCUGCUCGCUCCUCAGCUAACAAGAGCCAGACCAGUGGCCUCCACGUGAGGUCAUUGCAGAGUACCAAUAUGGUCUCCACUGCAGCUGCCCGAAAAGCAGGAGGUUUCUUCAUUCUGUAAUGAGGCCAUUGAGCUGCUUAACUCUGGGCAGCGAUCUUGCCUGCUUCUCAAAUGAGAACUAUGGGAAAACAUGCAGAAGAAUUGAGGAAGGGAAGUUUUGGAAUCAAAUAAUGAAGAUGGUAAAUAUAUGCCUUAAACUAAUGCCUCGCACGUGUGAAGUUUGCCCUAAAUUGUGGAAAUUAAACCACAGGCAGAUACUUUAUCUGAGGUAUGAAAUCUCUUUAGCUUGUCCACAUCCUCAGGAAACAUAAUCAACCCUCAAAGCUUCAAUACUUCACUAUCUAUCCUUUGCGGGGCAGGUGUACAAGGUGUACAAUUUCUUCAGAGGACAAGAAAGCAACUUCCACAGUAUGGGAAAGAGUUGGUUGUUAGUUCAGGCUAGAGGGGGAAAAAUGGAUGUAAACAAGUGUCACCUCUGUUAAAAGACAAAAUUUCAACAAAUACAGUUUUUUUUAGAUCUAAUUGGCUUUUGUGAUUCAUGAAACGGAGCAGGAGCUCAUUCUAUAAAAUAGAAAGGUGCUCCACUGGGUGUGACAAAACAAUUGAUUUUUUAUAAAGUGGGAACAAGAAAGCAGAACAAAAAAGGCACGGGGUUGGUUACUAUCAUAUUACUUCAGAUUACUUUCCUCAUAAAGGUUAAAGUGCAGGGAACUUCCUGUCCUGCUUGAUCAGGUUGACUGGGCCUUUUCAGAUUGGUUACUGUGAGUCUUCUGUUUUCAGGAAAAAAACUGAUCGCUAGGGGGUUGGCCUGAUGCCUUAAAGUUUCAGUUGGAUUGUGUGGCACUUAGCACAAGGUCACUCCAUUUUGGUUUGGUUUGCUGAGGCUUUGUGUGGGAGCUUAAUCCAAAACAAGGGCCUCUUACAAAUUUUAUUUAGCACCCCCAUUCCUGUGUGGGCAGUUUGUGUGACACAUUCUCUUAAUUGCCCCACGAGUCUUGGCUAAGGGGCCUCUGCCCCAAACCCUGGGCACUGUUUCAGGUCAGAGAAGGCCUCCCUUCCCGAUGACCUGUUUCUACACUUUCAUUCUCUGCUGAUGGCUCUUUAGAGAGAGGACAUCACUCUUUCCAUUCAUUUCACUGGGGGGUUAUAGCUCCUUACAUAGAUCUCUGGUUAUGAGCACGAAAGCACAACUACCAGGUAAGAAUUUACAAAAGGCCCCGGAUUUAAGCUGAAUGUGCUCUUAGGCUCUGCAUUCUUAGCAAACAAAACUUCCUAUUUAAGUAGGUCAGAAUAAGGCUUUUGAGGGUUUUGUGGCAUUCUAGAAAUCACGUUGCUUUCACUAAACUAUUUGAACACAGGAUAUUCGUCCUGGGAGCUUUACUAUGUCAAUUUAUCAUUACUGUUUUGAACAAAAUGAUAUAAUGCACCUUUUUUGAAUGAAGACAAACCAUAAAAGAUAGAAGACAAGUGAGUCAUUGCUUUCCUUGAAAGGACAUCCACAUAUAUUUAAAAGUUUCUCUAGUGUAUAAUUUGUGAAAUACAAACUAUCACAAUUUCCAUCAUAAGCCAUGAUCUUAAACACUUAGAUUCUUAUCUGUGAUGAAAUGCACACAUAUUAUGGAAACUUUGUUCUAACAGAGCCACACCAAUCAUAGGAUUAAAAAGUUAAUGAGAUGUCUUUUCAUUUAAAAAUACCAAACCAUAUACAGUCGUCUUCACUUAAUCAUUUAUUUAAAAUUUUAGGCAUCUUUGACUGAGAUUGUCACUUUUACUUCUUGUUAUGGACAAAGAAAGCUCAUUUUUACCCAAUAAAAACCCUGGAAUAUUCAUGUUUAACAUUACUAUUAGGUAUGAAUCAUUACUGCACAUCAGGCCUGGCCUGUGCCCUCCUUGAAUAAGGAAUUGCAGGGUACUUUUCUUUUUCUUUUUCUUUUUUUAGCUGUGCUGGGCAUGGAACCCAGGGACCUCUGCAUGUUAGGCAAGUGCUCUAUCACCCCCAGACCUCUUCAUUUUAAUGGCUUUCAUUGACAUUUUAUUAAUCAAGUCAUACACUUCAUAGAAUAAACUUCACUGCGUGCUUUCUAUGCUUUAAAAUGUGCUCAAUGCUAGAAAUGCAAAGAGGGAAAUCAGAGACCCUGCUUUCAAAAAGAAAGGAUCUUUGGCUAGGCUCUGAAUGAAUAAGAAUUCUGGUUGGUGAUCAGUGAGUGUCCAGAUAAUAGAGAACAGGUGGGAUUAAUUGGAAAGAGCAUUUAGGCCGUCUCCUUGUAUAUUUCAGGAUAUUCUCUAGAAUCUGGUUGAACAGCAGAUCUGUAUUCUUGGUUAUUGAAUAACCUGGCAAUAAGAUUUAGCAAUCAGCAGAUGUGACUCUCAUAACCAUACUCACAGGCUGUCUGUAUGUCGUUUCAUAUUAUCAAAAGCUGUGCUUAUUUUUAUAUGUGUAGAGUUGUCUUUUGCAAAGUUAAUUAACCACCGGGCAUUUAUAAUCCUGAGCAUUCUCUUCAUAUAGAAUGCUGGGGAGACACAUAGUCCACAAAAUUGACAUUUGUCUUUUGUGAUUGCCCAAUCAAUGACAUUCUGUAUCUGAAAGCAGAGGAAAUUAUUGUAAUCAACAAGGAAUCACACUGCAAGCAAUGUUAAGAAUAAGUUAUGUUUCCAUACUUACUUCCUUUAAAGCUCAAAAAGAAUGGAAAGAUUUAGUUACCCUACUUGGAACCCAAUUUCUCCUCACUGUAAUUCAAUGUUACAACUCACCUGAAUGUUUUGAAGUACUUUGGUAUGCUCCUAACAGUUUUUUAAAACUGUAACAUCAAUUGCAUUCAUAUAGAAAGUUAAAAAAAUUUAGACUAGCAAAAACAGAAAUACUGAUCAUCUCCAUAAUCCCAUAAUUUUACCAAUAACAUAAUCUCUCUUUAAUGAUUUGGAACAUGUUUUUUGAGUUUCAGUCUUUUUCUCUUUCAAAUGAAAUCACUAUACUGAACUAUUUUGCAACAUGCUUUCUUACUUUAUCAUAUGGUGUGUAACACAGAAGUUGAAUUUCAGGUGGGUUCUUUGUCUUGUGAAUUUGAAGAAUGAAAUCCACGGACACAAGGGUGAGAGCAAAGUACAGGAUGUAUUAGAGUAAGAGAAAGCAGAGCUCCUGAAAAGGGAGGGGUGCCCAUGGUGUCUGUUAUCUGUUUUUAUGGGCUUGAUCUGUCCCUGUAGGUGAUCGGUGGGACAUAGGAUUUUGGACAGAGGGGCCAAUCAACUCUUUUUCUAUUUUGUCUUCUUCAGCAAAUUUGGAGAAAAGUGAUUUCUAAGCUUUAAUCAGCACAAGUGUGGGGGUGGGGUCUGUUGGAGCAAGAGGAAGUACUUUUGGAGGUAGGUAAUGUCUAGAGCUGUUAAGAAACUGUCCUCGUGGCUAGGAAUAACUGGGGUAAGAAGCUUAAUUUCUCAAUUCUCUCUUCCUCCUUUUCUUCUCUUAGACCCUUUUUCUGACUGAUUAUGGGUUGCCUAUCUUUCUGUUUCAAUCACUUCAUCAAUAUAUUUCUAAUGUCUCCCAAAGGUUCAAUCCCUAAAUUGUCAUUUACAUCAUUAUUUUUGGAUGUAUUUUUAGGAGUAUACUAUAGCUUAUUUAACCCUGUGUUGGAGUAUUAAGGUAGUUUCCAAUACAUUAGGGGCAUUUUUUUUAAACCAAAUGUUUUUAUAUAUCGGUGAAUAAUUCAUUAAAAGUGCAUUCCCUAGAUAUUAUUUCCACUUUUAAAGAUUGUGAUAUGUGAAGUGCCCUCCAUAAAGAAUGUACCAAUUUGUACUCUCACUAGAAGAGCAUUAGAAGAUUUCCCUGAGUCCAUCCCAACACUGUGUAUUUACAUAUUUCAAAAUCCUUGCCAGUUGGAUAGAUCUAAAAGAUAUCUAUUAGUGUUUUGAUUUGCAAUGAGGAUAGAAUUUAUAUAUUUUUAUUACCUUAUAAGUAACAUUCUUGGUAGUUGGCUUGCAGGUAAAAUGAAAGAGUACAUUUGUAUUUAAAUCUUUGGAUAUAACUUCAAGUGUAUAUGUCUCUAUCUUUAUUUUUUAUGAUUCCCUCAAUCUUCCAUUUGUCUUGUGCUCUCUGGGUAAUUGUAUACCCCCAGGCGGUAUUUCCCAUGUAGCCACAAACUGAAAGCCAUACUUGAAAAGUGGGUAUAUGAUUAGCACUCAAUAUUUCCAUACUUUUUUUUAAAAACUUGAUCUUGGUUACUUAUUAUUGGAUGAUAUAACUGAAAAUUCCAAAUGCCAUUCUGUAGUUGUUGGAAAUUUAUAGGCUUCAGUGGGCUGAAGGGCUGAAAAGGUGUCAUCAGAACUGGAGUUUUUUCUCACCCCUUGGGUUUAGUUUUUCCCUUGUUGCUUCAUUCUUAAGCAGACUUAAGGCAGCUAAAGGACUGUCCACUAAGACAAGAUGGCCACCAGCAACUCAGCUCACCUGCUACUCACACAGCAAUUUUAAGGCCACUGGGAGGAAAGCUGGAUAGAGGUGAAUGUAAGGGGAAUGGAGAGUGUGAGGGAGAGAGAGGUGGGAGGGGGUGAGAUCUGUGAAUACUGAACUAUUUAAAAACUCUUUUUGAUGUGGUCUUGGUGGCAAAAUUCACAUAGCAUAAAUGUACAUUUUUAGCAUGUUUAAGCACCUCUUUUAUAAUGGCUUAAAAAAAAAAAAAAAGGCCCUUGGAGAAUUCUGAUUGAUCCCUAGAGUCAUGUGCUCAUUUCCAAGGGCAUUCUCAUAUUAGCCAGCCUAGGUCAAGGUUUUGAGACAUGAAAUACAUUCACAUUAUUUUGCAACCAUUACCCCACUCUCUUCAGAACCCUCUUCUUGCAAACUGAAACUCUUCCUCCAUUAUACAGUAGCUCCCCGUUCUCCCUACCCCAGCCCCUGGACACCUCCAUUCUGCUUCUUGUUUCUAAUAGUUUGCUCUUCUAGAUCUCUCAUGUAAGUGGAAUCAUAAGGCAAUUCUUCAUUUCUUUUUAUUUUAUUAGUGUUAUGUCUUCAAGUUUCAUCCAUGUUGUAUCAUGUGUUGAAAUUUUCUUCCUCUUAUAGCUCAGUAGUAUGCCAUGAUAUGAACACUGAACUUUUAAAGCAAGUGGGGGAAUAUGUCCCAGAGGAGGAGAUAAUCUGCUUAAGUAGCAGGAAAAAAAAAAUUGCAAAGAACCCUUCCACAAGAGCCUAAGAACAGAGGUUUCAAGGAGGGAAUGACCACAAUGUCAAGGGCUGCAUAGGUCAAGUUCAAUAACAACUGACAAGAGAGAAUGGGAUUUGGGGAAUAGAGUCAUUAUUGACCUUGGCAACAGUGAUUUUAAUAGAAUUGUGUGAGCUGAGUCCUGAUUAUUUGGGGCUCAAGAGUAAAUGGGAGAUGAAGAAUAAUGGGCUGUUUUCAGAUGUUUUGCUGUGAAGAGGAGGAGACAGAUAUAGUGGUAACUGAAGGAAUAUAGAAUUUGGGAGAAGACUUUUUUUAGUGGACAAGGAUUGGGGUGAACUUGACCUUGUUGGUAUUGCCAAAGGAGAGGGGAACAUAGUACAGGAAGAAGAGAAGCAAUGUUUGAUGGCGGAGUGGAUUGCAAGGUGAGGUGGAUGAAAUGAGGAGCAGAGAGGAGCUCAGUGCUGGCUGGCCCAGUUUCCAAAAUAAAACAGACAGUUCAUCAGCUAACUACUUUGCAAAGAACUUUAUGUUUCUUGUGGAUGCUCCUAAGUGAUACAUUUUGUUGCAGAUCCACCAGAUGCUCCCAAGGAGGUCACCUGUGUCAUUUAUGAAUAUUCAGGCAACAUGACUUGUACAUGGAAUACUGGGAAGCUCACCUACAUAGACACCAAAUACGUGGUGUACUUGAAGAGGUAGGUUCCUUCUGAGGGGGUUCACAUGUGCAGUUCCACUCCAUUCAACCUGCAUUCUGCCUGCAGCAGAGAUUCAAGAAAUCAACUUCAAACAUUAAACAUAUGCUCUGAUUAUCCCCAUCUUCCUAAUUAUGAUCAAAGAAACUAACAACACCUGUCCUGAGCCAUUCAUAUUUUAAUAUUUCUGUGGGGCAGUGUGUUCUAUGACUUUUCUAUCCUUUUUAUUCAUUGGUAGAUAACUGGUAGAUAGCACCUAAUGGUAUGGCUCAGUACAGCUUUAAAUUGGCUUCAAUCCUAACCCCAUUCUCCUUUUAGGAUUAGGACAAUUUACUCAGUUCUCAAAUUUGCUGAUUUUUUUUUUUUUUUUUUUGGUACUGGGACUUAAACCCCGGGACACUCAACCACUGACUUCAGCCCUAUUUUGUAUUUUAUUUAGAGACAGGUCUCACUGAGUUGCGUAGGGCCUCACUAAGUUGCUAAGGCUGGCUUUGAACUCAUAAUCCUCCUGCCUCAGCCUCUGAGCUGCUGGAAUUACAGGUAUGCAUCCCUGCACCCAGUACUGAUUCUUCAACAUGGGAUUCAAGUAGAACCUAAUGCGUGAGUUUGUUCUAAUUAUAUAAAUGGCAUUUGGCUUUUAAAGUAUGUACACGAGGCCAUGUUCAUAGUUGGCACUAAAUUCACAGAUGUUUUUGUCCCCACGACAAAAACUGGGCCAACUAGUACUGAGACACUACCCAGGGGAAUUCCAAAGAGUUCCCCCCCAAAGAAAGGGAAUGCCAACUCAGCCCCUGCAGGUUCUUGAUACACAUUGCAGAAGGAAAUUUCAGGACAUAGAGGCACAAAUUUUCAGGAAAAGAGGCACAAGCAGAGAUUUGUUCAGGGAAACAAGCAAUAGAGCAGGAUGCGUGCUCAAGGGGAGAGGGACUACGGGCACUUGGGGUUCAGACGUGCUUUUGUGGUCUCAGGCUUCCUUUUUUAGAGGAAACUUUGUAAAUGGUAAGCAUGCGUAGUACUGGGGUGGAGUCAGCUUAAUGGGCUUGACUCUCUAGAUCAUGGAGCACAGAGCUGGGUAUGGUGGUCUGUUUCUUCUCAGAAUCUUUAGGUUGACAUGAUUUAGUUAAGAGCGCUUGGACGUACCCUUAUCAUGGGUUUUUAACAGCAUCUUUCUCUAGGCUUCUUUUAGUCUAAAAAUAUAUCUUGCAAGCUAACAAGACACAUUAGCACUAAUUAACUGGACUUAGAAUACUCUAAGAUUUAUUGGACUUUUUAAGUAUUCUGGCCUGGAGGAAAAACAGGCCUGGGAGUGAAGGUGAGGACCUUUGUAGAGUUUUUAGAUUUAAACGACAGUCUCUCGUUCCUUCUCUGUUUGUCUCUGUUCUACCUAUCCUUAUAUCUUCUAUCCUACCUCAGUAGUAACCCCCAAAUAUGAAUUUAGUGUCAGUGUAGGCCAAUCAGUUUUUCUUAGGGGUGUCCAGAGCAUAGGACUUUCAGUUUUAAAACUUGGAAAGUUGUGGGCAAACUGGGGAGAAGUUGGUAACCUUAACCAUGUUUCUUGUUUUAUUUAUUUAUUUUUAAAGAAGCAAUGCCUUCUGUAGUGAAUUCAAAGUAUUAGUAAUCCUCAACUUUUCAUGAGCUACUUAUUUUUUAAAGGACUUACUGGACCCUUACUGUGUGCCAAGCACUGGGGCCAGGAGCUUUAUAUCCAUGACCUCAUUUAAUCCCCUAUACAACUUUGUGAGGUACAUACAAUUAUUUUUCCCACUUUUAUAGACAAGGUACUGAGACUUAGAGAAGUUAGGUGAUAUGUCCAGACCCAGGCAGCCACAGAGAGGGGCAAAUGGGAAUUGAAACUGGGCCACCUGAUGGCCUCCUUCCUGUCUUAGCGUGUUUCUGCUCAAAGGAUGUGGGAGACCGUAUCAAGGACAUAUUUUAGAGAUGCUACCAGGUCUCACCAUUAGAGAAGAGAAUAACCUUGUAAUCUUAUUCUCUCUCUGUGUGUAUGUCUCUCUCCUGAUAGGUACUCAGAAUAAUUUUAACUAAAUGAAAAAUAAAAAGGAACACCUCUUCAAGAAAUUCUGGGUAAAACCUGGAUAGAUUGUAUAAAUACAUUACUAAGCCUGGGAUUACCAACUGUUUGCCAUGGGCAGGAAGCUCCUGCUUUUUAUUCUGAGCGGGGGGGCUAAACAGGAUGGUCAGAUGUCAAAGAAACCAUGAAACCCUGAGAUCAGAAGUAGACAGAGUGAUGGAUAACAUACAAUGUGCUAAGUACUAUACUCCAUGUUUGUGUCUUCAAUUCUCAGCUCUGCCUUGUGCGGAAACUCUUGUUCUCAUUUUUUAAGUAGUUUGGAGAGUAGACAUUGCCCCUCCAAAGUCAUUUGGCUAAGAAGUAGGGGAGCUGGAAUUCUAACAGGUGUCUUUCUGGCUCUACAGUCUGAUACUUAACCUGUAUCUUGCUUUAAUGCAAAGCAAUCGCUCUGAGAUGCAAAGAGGUCAGGAGGACAAGAAAACUAGAGUCUCAUUACCAAGUUAAUUUUAGAAAUGUGAAAAUGAGAGGUGUCUGAGGGCAAACCCCAUACUUUAAGCUCACAGAAAAGCUAGGUAAUAGCAGAUUAACAGAGAAAGCUUGGUAACUUGAGGACUUUUACUGUUUUCUGGAAACCGGAUGUAUCUCACUUGCCUCAGUCUGACCCUCAACACUCACGGACUUCCUGAUCUUCUUGUUCUUCCUUCCUUCCAUUUUGCUCUCUUUCUCUAUCUUCUAUCUUAUAUAAGAUAUAAUAUAAGAUAUAAUAAUAAGAUAUAAUAUAUUAAGUAUAAUUCACCUACCACACAAUCCACCUUAUUUUAAGUAUACUAUUUAAUGAUUUUUGUUAUAUCACAAUGCAAAGAAAAGACCAUGGACUCCAAUUUUAAAUCAAAUUAAAGCAAGCUUGUAAUUCUGGCCGGGACUAUCUCUCCCGAAAUCCUUGGGUUAGAGAACAGUACCCCAGUUCUCUAGGAGCAUGGUUUUAUAGCACAAAAAGUUACAAAAGGGGGGUGCCUUGAGAACUUACAGAUAACAGGAUUUUGAAAAGUAUAAUACAAAGGCAGAUAGUAGGUUAAUGAUCUAAAUGGUUCAGCAUUUCAAGGUAGAGAGUAAAUUUAGAUCCCCAAACCGGAAUUUCUGAGGUGCUUCUAAGGUUUCAGAGAGGGUUGUUAUCUGGUUAGGGAAAGCCAGGCAUGGGUGAGUUCAAGGCAUGGGCAGGUAUUCCAAGCGAGUUUAGAAAUUGCAGUAAUUUAUAGUAAAAUAGUAACUUUUCAUGACUUUGUGACAAGAUGGCUCCCAAUCUUAAGAUGGAAUUAGGCUGGGUUCAUCAACUUUAGCAAAUUCCUAGAGUUGUGCAACUGUCACCACAAUUGAUUUUAGAACAUUUUCAUCAUGCCAAAAAGAAACCCCAUGCCCAUUAGCAGUCACUUCUUAUUUCUCCACAACCCUCCCAGCACCUGGAAACUACUAUUUUGUUUUGUUUUGUUUGUUUCUGUGGAUUUGUCUACUCUGGAUACUUCAUGUGAAAGGAAUCCUACAGUAGAUGGUCUUUAGUGACUGGCUUCUUCACUUAUCACAGUGUUUUCAAGGUUCAUCCAUGAGCAGCACGUGUCAGUACUUCAAUCCUUUUACAGCUGAAUAAUGUUCCAUUCUAGAGUUUUAUCACAUUAUGUUUAUCCAUUCAUUAGUUGAUGAGCAUUGGAUUAUUUCCACAUUCUGGCUACGUGAAUAACAUUCUAUUAACAUUUAUACAAACGUAUGUUUUCAUUUCUCUUGGGCAUAUACUGAGGCAUAGAAUUUCUGUGCGUAUAUAUUAACUGUUAGGGGAACUUCCAGAAUGUUUUCUAAAGGAGCUGCAAUAUUUUACCUUCCCACUAACAAUGUAUGGGGGGGAGUGUGUUCCAAAAUCUCCAUGCCUUUGCCAAUGCUUGUUAUUGUCUUAUUGGUUAUUGUCAUCCUAUUAGGUACAGGUUAUGGGUUAGUCAACUUUUUGUCACCGUGACCAAAAUGCCUGUCAAGAACAGCUUAGGGGGCUGAGGCUGUAGCUCAGUGGCAGAGCACUUGCCUCUCAUGGGUGAGGCACUGAGUUCGAUCCUCAGCACCACAUAAAAAUGAACAAAAUAAAAGCAUGCUGUCUUAUCUACAACUACAAAAAAAAAAAAUGCUUAGAGGAUGAAAGGUUUAUUUUAGGCUCAUCCUCUCAAAGGUUUCAGUCGAAGGUAGGCCAACUCUGGACCCCAUGGCAGAAGGACCUGGCUGGGAAUAGCUUUUCAGCUCAUGGAGGCCAGGAAAGGAGGAGCCAGAGGAACAAGAUAUAAUCCCCAAGGGCACAGUCCCAGAAAUCUACUUCCUUUUGCCACACCCCACCUGCUUACAGUUACCACCCAGUAUUGUAGUCCUUUCAAAUUAUUAAUUUAUCAAAUGGAUAAAUCACUGAUUAGAUCAGAGCUCCUAUAAUUUAAUCAUUUCACCUCUGAACAUUAUUAACAAAGGAGAUUUUUGGGGAGACACCUCAUAUCCAAACCAUAACAGGCUAAUAUUUUGGCAAACCCCACUCACCUGCCUUCUCCAGUUCCUGACAGUAGAAUUGCAUUGUAAAUUUGUGAGAGACAUAUCACAACUUGAGAAAAUAUAUUCAUUAGACAAAAUUUAAAACUUGUUAAUCACCACCUAAUUUAUUGAAAUAGUCUCUGAGUGUUUUAUGACUAUUAAUUAUGUAUUUCUUUGAGAUCCUUUAAUGCUUCAAAAUUAUAUGUGUUUAAAUUAUUUGCCCAUGGCUUUUGAAGGACACAUCUAUUUUAUAAAGAAUACCUGUAGUAGUUAUGAGUACUGAGGCUGUUUCAGACUCAAAAAGUCACUCAAAAAGUGUAUGAAGUAUAGAUUUAUAAAAGAGAAUGUGUUAAAAAAAUAACCAUGGGAAAGAGCACCAGUUAGAGUUUUAUAUUUUAUUUCUAGUUUAGGUAUCUUUUAUGAUGCAAAUAUCAUAAAACCCCAGUGCAGUGCAUUAGUUAGCUUUCAAUUUCUGCAACAAAUCUUGAUAUAAUCAACUUGUAAGGAGAAAAGUUUAUUUGGGCUCACAGUUUCAGAGGUUUCUGACCAUGACCAAUUAACCCUGUGGCUCUAGGCCUGUCCUGAGGCAGCAGCAUAUCAUAGUGGAAGCAUAUGACAGAGUAAAACUGCUUACCUUGUUACCAGAAGGAGAAAGAGAUAGGAUGAGAAAGGUGACUAGAGCCCUACUAUCCCCUUUAAGUCCAUUCCCUCUGAGAUCUGAAGACCUUUAAGGCCAUGCCCUAAGAGAUUUGAAGACCCCCCACUGGGUUGCUUUUCUUAAAGCUUCCACCACCUCCUAGUAGCACCACUAGCUGAGAUAUUCCAGAUCCAAAAUAUAGUGUGCAGUCACUUAAAUACACAGGACCUUAUCACAGGGCCUUAUUUAUAUCAGGUCACAGUGGUAUAUAGUACAGAGUUAGCAUGGCAAUUCAGUUACACUCCAAGGCCCCAAACUCUUUCCAUCUUUCUACUCUAUAAUCUUUAGUGUGUCAGCUUUAAUCUUUAGAUGCUGCAUCUCUAGUUUUCUCAUUCAAGUUCCAAGCAGGAAAAGUAGCAAAGGGAAAAGGACAUCCUCUCACGAACUUUUACCUACAUGGUGUUGGCCAGUAAGAUGCCUUAUGUCUGUCUACUCUAUUUGGAUGGAAACUGGUUAAAGGGCAUUACAAAUGGAGUUCAGUUCUGCUAUCCAACAGUAUCACCAUGCUCUCUAGCUGUGGGAUCUUGGAUAAGUUAUUUAGCCUUGCUGAGUCUCAGCAUCCUAUAAAAUAAGGGUAAUUAAUAAUAUAAAUCUUACAAAAAAGCAAAUUAUAAGAGAUGGUUUGUAUAUUAAAAAUGCUUAGAAACAACAAAAGGGGUAUCCUACUCCAUUUAUGUUUCUAUCACAAAAUAUCUUAGAUUUUAUAAUUUAUAUUUAAAAAACACAAAAAUUUAUUGCUUAUAGUUCUAGAGGCCACUAAGUCCAAGAUCGAGGCACCAGUAGAGUUGGUAUUUGGCAAGGGCUCAUUCCUUAUAGACAGUGUCUUCUAUAUAUCCUCACAUGGCAGAAGGGGUAAGGAAACUCUGUUCAAACUCCUUCUGUAAGGACACUAAAAUCAUUCAUAAGUAUGGAGCCCUCAUGACUUAAUCAUCUUCUAAAGAUCCAACCUCUUAAUAGUAUUUCAUUGGAAAAUUUCAGCAUAUGAAUUUGGUGAGGGGUGUCACCAAUAUCAGACCACAGCAAUAUCAUGGUGACAGGCAAGGCUAAUUCCCUAGGCUAGUAUGAUUUGUUCUCAUAUCAAACGCAACUAAUAUGGGAGAGAGAAAGAUUACUGUAAAGCCAUAAAAUAAUUAUUCAUAGGAUAUUAUAAACAACAGUCUUAUUUACACUAUUUUCAAGGAAUAUUACUUUUGGAAAAUCUAGAAAUAUGUUGAAUGUGCUCUAAUAAGAAAGACUAAUUUCUAGUUAUUGUAUAUAUGUCAAUAGUUAAUAUACUCAUUCAUCCAAACUAGAAUAUAAGCCCAGUGAGGACGAGAAUUAUUACCGUAUCAACUAAGUUAGAACAGAGACUGAUACCUAGUAAGUGCUAUAUAUAUAUAAUUUUUUUAAAGAGAGAGAGAGAGAAUUUUUUAAUAUUUAUUUUUUAGUUUUCGGCAGACACAACAUCUUUAUUUGUAUGUGGUGCUGAGGAUCAAACCCAGCACCACACACAUGCCAGGCGAGCGCGCUACCGCUUGAGCCACAUUCUCAGCUCUCAAUAUAUAUUUGUAGAGUAAUUUCAUCUACCUGAUAAGUAGAAAUAAACAUUUCUUACAUUUCCCCUUCACUGUCUAGUUAAAUAAGAAUAAGAAAAAGUCAUAUGUAUUUUUAAAAUUAUCUAUUCCACUGUCUUUCUAUAAAUUCAAUAAUACAGGUUGAACAUUUCUAAUUUGAAAAUGUGAAGUCUGAAAUGCUCCAAAAUCUGAAACUUUCAACUUCCCAACAUAAUAUCUCAUGUGGGAAAUUCCACAUCAUGAAAAUUUGAAAAUUUGUUUCAUGUACAAAAUCAUUUUUUUAAAUUGUAUAAAAUUAUCUUCAGCUGUAUACAUAAAAGUUUUAUGAAAUAUAAAUGAAUUUCAUGUUUAGACUUGGGUCCCUUAGCCAAGAUAUCAUAUAUAUAUAUACAUACAUACAUACACAAAUAUUCUAAAAUAUGAAAAAAUCACAAAUUCAAUACUUCCAGUUCUAAGCAUUUUGGGUAAGGCAUGUGCAACCUGUAAACUGUAACUGAACUCUGACAAACCUAACCAAAUUUUGAAUUGAUGGAGUCCAGAUUAAUGAGAUUUUAUCAUAAUUUAAAGAAUGGGAAAAAUUAUCAUAAGAAUGAAUAUUUUCCUCCAGCAUAUUCAAAGCACGAGUUCCUGUAAGCACAGACAAAUCAGAAAAGGAAACACAUAUCUAUUCAUCUUCCAAUUAAUGAAAAACAAACUCAUGAGUUGAAAGCAACUAGAGAAAGAAAAAGUCAAUUUCACUAGCAAACUACCAAGAAGAUCUUUUCUCUCAAGGAAAAAAUUGACUUAGAAUGAAUGUUGUGGUUAAGGUAGUUGGUACAGUAUCAGGUCAAAGGCCCUCCCAGAUCCUGGGGUGCUGGGGUAUUUUCCACUUGGGCAAGUAGGGAGAGAUCAGUAUUGGCAAGGUUUCACUUCCAACUCGUGUGGUUCUGUGUUCCAGUAAGGUCACAUAGAGAAACCUGUCACCUCAGCCCACACACUGGUUUCACCAGUGGCAUACAGGUGGGGAUCCCUCUUUGGCAGCACAGGGGCCAUCGGGGCCUCCUGGUGUUGGGUUGAAGUGUUAAGUAGAAGAAUUAUAUCUAUGUGGCUUCAAUAGCUUUCUCCCCACCAUCCAGCUUUUUUGUGGUGUCUUCACUAGUCACAGCCACAUGGCUAUUCACAUACCUUCCUCUUCCUCUUGUAGUUUGCUGAGUAGUCAGGGGUGGUGAUAGAAAAAAAUUAAACUUGCUUAUUGGUGUCUACCUCCUGCUCUCCCACUGUCCUCAGCAGCUUCAUGUACAUGUGCUCUUUCUUUAUCUUAGGAAUUCAUGCAGUGUCUCCUGCAGUGUCUUCUACUUGAUAAAUAUUUUUUGCACAGAAAUGAAUGGAUAACACUCCAUUCUGUUCCAUGCAAGUCAGUUUAGCAAAUAUUCAUUUAAUAUUUCAUGUCUUCCUGGCACCAUGUUAAACUCUAGAGACAAAAACAAAAGACAAAGCAAAACAAACAAACAAAAAAAGAUACAUACCAUCUCUGUGCUUGACAAGCUUAUACAUUUUUACAAGGCCACCAAUAGGGGAAUUUCAGGUACCAUGGAAGACCAAUAGGGCAAAUAUUUUUAGAUUAGAUGCCAUUUUAUUUACUUUCUAAUUUUUAACUUUUUCUUUCUUUCUUUCUUUCUUUCUUUUUUUUUGUAUCAGGAAUUGGGGCUUAACUACUAAGCUACAUUCCCAACCUUUUUUAUUUUUAUUUUGAGACAGGGUUUUGCCAAGUUGCUGAGGCUGGCCUGGAACUUGUGAUCCUCCUUCCUCAGCCUCCAAGUCAUUGGAACUACAAGCAUGUGUCACCAUGCCUGGCUUAGAUUGGAUAUCAUUUUAGACCCUUAAAUUCAGUUGCCUACUCUACCAGUUCAUAAGGGCUGCUUAUAGUUGCCACAUCUUCUUCUCCGCAUAUUUAUUUCUAACAAGCAGAAUUCUUAGAUAUGAUCCCAAACAUUUAUAAGACUGUGGUGUUAGGUUUCAGUAAUUCUUUCAGGAUUCAAUAAGCAGUUCAUAUUUUAAAAUCCAUUUCCUCACCAAUUAUGAGCCCAGAGAGCUAACUGAGACUGUAGACAAAUACAACUUUGUUCCUUUUUAUAACCAAUAAUCUCAACUGGGUCCAGAGAGCAGCACACUAGUCUUCUACAUUUCACUGGCCAAGUCAAGCCCCAGCUAAGCCAGAGAAUCUUCCCUUCUUUAACCUCUAUUGAUGAUUUGCUUCCUAUUUUACUGAGAAAAUGAGACCAAUGAGAAAUACCACAACUUCCCUCAUCUAUGUACACACUGACAUCUGUACCCACAGACUUAAUCUUUUGUUCUGUUACUCUGGAUAAACCACCCUUGUGGUUCCUCCCCACUUGUGUACUGGAUCUGCCUACUGGAGGACAUUGCUCCAACCAUUUUCCUCUUUUGUCUGCACCAUUACCUUCUCUGUCUUUACUGGGUCAUUCCCAUCAGCUUUUGAGCAUCUGCAACAUCUACUCUUUGGAAAAAUGCAAUAUUCCCUAGAUGCCUCCCCAACACCAUACUAUUUCUCUGCUUCCUUUUAUGACAGCAAUCCUCCAAAGAGCUGUCUCUACUGUCUCCAUUUUGUCCUCUCUCAUUCUUUCUUUGGUCCUUUCUCACCUUCAUUCACCACUCCACUGAAAUAGCUCUUAUCAAAGUUGCUAAGGUCAGGGCUGGAGUCGUGGCUUAGUGGUAGAGCACUUGCUUAGCACACAUGAGACUCUGGGUUUGAUCCUCAGCACCACAUAAAUAAAUACUGUGUCAAUCUACAACUAAAAAAAAAAAAAAAACUUUUUUAAGUCACUAGGGUUUCUGCAUUGCCAAAUCCGAUGGUAUAUUCACACCCUUAUCUCAUCUAUCAGGAGCACUACCUUGGCUCUUCACCUUCUUUUGGCUUUCAUAGCACCUGCUCCCUUUUGCUUCUUCUUGCUGGGUGCUUUUUCUCAUUCUCUUUUUUUCUGAUUUCUCUUCAUUUCCAGUAAAGUAAUAAAAGACCCAGAGCUCUGCCCUAGGACCUCCUAUUAUCUUUACCUACAUCCAUUACUUUAAAUAUCUCAUCCAAAUUUAUGGCAUAAAACUCCCCAAUUUAUAUGUCCAGUCCAAAUAUCUCUCCUGGGCUACAGCUGCUAUAUAUCUUAACAUCUCUUUUAGCAUCCAAAAGGUAUUAUUACAAAGUUAUCAUUUUCUAAACCAGAUGCCAGUUUCCUCUCCCCAGAUUUGCUGAUUCCAUCUUAGUAAACCACAUGUCUAUCCUUAGCAUUAUUCAUAUAAAAAUGAUUGGAGUCCUCCUGGAUUUCUAUCUUGCCUUUCAUCCAAUUGAGCACCGUAAUCUUGUGGAUCUACCUUGUAGAUAUCUGACAUCUUCUCACCACUGUACUGCCGUCCUAGGCCAAGCCAUGUCACCUGUCACCCAGUCAAUCCAGGAGCUUCCUAACUGGUUCCUUAUUCUCUGCCUUGUCCCAUGUAGUUCCUUUGUUAUUGAUUUUUGAGCCCAAAGACUGCAUUCUUUUUCUUUCGAGGAAAAGUGGAGUCAAUGAGAAGACUGAGAACCACUGAGCAGUGAAAGAGACUUUUAUUCUUGGUCAAGAAUGGAGAAGUGGAAUUUAAACUUGAAAAUCAACUUCUCCCUGCUCAUGGCCAGGGGGUUAUAUCAAUAGGGUAAAAUAAAUGAAGAACAGAGACGGUUAAUAGGGUGGAGGACUAUUCAUGUAUUUUAUUAUUAUAAUAAUAGAUUGUCAAGGGGUCACUUUGGCAGCCAUCUUAGAUCCAACCAGUUUUGGCCAGCCCACCAGAAGCGGAACUGGCCUUCAGGCAUGCUGUCCUCAAAGAGGGCAGAGUUAGGGUGGGAUAGAAAUUCAGUUAGGUCAUCCAGGCAGUAGAAGACAAAGGCUGGUAACACCUUAUUCACAAGUAGAUAAUCUUUUUUAUAGGCAUCUAAGAUCUUAUCACCCUUCUGCUUGGAACAUCUCAUUUCAGAAAUCAAAGCCAGAAUACUUCCUUGUCUCUACAUGCCUUUUAAAUACCUCCUUCCUGGAGAACUCUUUGUUCUCAUGUCUAAUCCCUUUCCGGCUCCCUCCAUCUGAAACCUCAUUGACCUCUUUGGUAUUCCUUGAGCAGGCCAAGCAAAGGUCCUGCCUCACGGUGUUGCGGAAAGCUCUGUCCUUGUCCCCAGUGCCAAUCCAAUAAUGAAGAUAUAGUUUUGAGAAAAAAGGAAAAAGAAAGUUUAUUGCUUUGCUAGCAAAGGAGAAACAGGGGACUCCUGUCCCAAAGACGGUGAUUCUGCCCAUUAGCAGAAAUUAGAGGCUUUUAAACAGGUGACUUAAAGGCUACAUUCCCUGUGUUCUCUGUUGGAGUUGUGAUUCACUUGUUAAUUUGGGAGAUAUUCAUUUCUGAGAUCUUCUAGUGCUAUCCCCAAAGUCUGGAUAAUUUCAUUCCUAAAGUGAGUGUGUACUCAGGGACAGAUAACUCUGUCUAUGAUGGGGAAGAGAGGUAAUAAUCCUGUUUCCCCUGAGAUUGGGUGAGGCAGAGAUUAGGGAGGAGCAGGAAGAGAGGAAGAGAAAGAAACAUGUCCAUUUUAAUAAUAAAUUGCAGUGGUAGAGCAGCAAGGGCUAUGUUCAAGGCAUAAGGUGGGACACUUAAAGAGGGCCUUUGCCUAUUACCUAAAAUGCCCUUCCUCCCAAGAGCCACAGUGUUUGUUCCUUUACUGAUCUAAUAUCACUUUCUCAAACGGGCCUUACCUCUUCUCCCUAAAUAUAGAAAUCCACACCCUUACCCCCAGAACUUUCUAGCACCUUUAUUUGGCCUUAUUUUUCUUCAGAACAUUUACCAUCUCAGAGUAUCUUAUACAUAUUUGUUUCACCAGAAUGUGUACUUCAUGAGAAUUGCAACUUCAUCUGUAUUUUUUUUGUAGCCCCAGUGUAUAAAGAUGUACUUGGAAUAUAGUUGGUGUUAGAUAAAUGUGUGUUGAAUGAGUGAUUAACUAUAAACAGAUGAUGUUAUUCAUCACUAUUGCCAUAAUUUGACAGUGUUUAUUGAAAAUUAUUAAUUAGGAUUAGGUCUAGGCGCAUGGGGAAUAUCUGAAAACCAAAUCAAUUCCCUUCAAAGAGUAAUCUGCUAUGCAUUAGCACACAUACACACAGAGAAAGAAAUAGAGAAAUUUAGAAACUUUUCUGUGAGUCAUUUUUCUUUGUUACCAUGACAAAAUACCUGAGAAAAACAGCUUAGAGAAGGAAAGAGUUAUUUUGGCUCUUGGGUCAGAGGUUUCCGAUCCAUGGCCAACUGGAUCCAUUGCUAUAGGCCAUAUAGCAGAGCUGCUUACCUCAUGGCAUGGGUAGGAGUGGGGGUGGGAUGCAAGCACCAGGAACAAGAUACAACCUUCCAGGGCAUGUCCCCACUGAGCUACUUCCUCCAACUAGGCCCACCUUCUAUAGUUUCCAUCAUCUCUUAAUAAUGUCAGCAAAUUAAUCCAUCAGUAGAUUAAUCCACUGAUGAGGUUAGAGUUCCCCUGUGAUCCACUCACUUCCCUGAAGUUUCACCUCUGAACAUUGCUGCAUGGAGAACCAAGCCUUCAACACAUAAGCUAUUGGGAAAUAUUCCAGAUCCAAACCACAACAACUCUGUGGUGUACAGUUCUAUGAGCAAUCAAGGACAAUCCAGAGUGUUCUUUCCUACUUUCUCAGCACAAUGCUUUUGACACCACAUCUAUAGGGGAGGAGGCUUCUUUCCAUACACCAACUAUCUCCCCAGCAGAGCCAGGUGGGUGUUCCCCAAUUCCAUUUUGACACCACCUAUGUUGGAGAUAACACCAGAUCAUUCCCAGAAGGCUGAUGCCCCCACUUCAGAUGCCAGUCAAAAGCCCCGAGUCCUGACCUGUGUUUUUUUUUUUUGGUACCAGGGAUUAAACUCAGGGGCACUUAACCACUGAGUCACAUCCCCAGCCCUAUAGGCCAUAUAGCAGAGCUGCUCACCUCAUGGCAUCACCCCAUUAGCAGAAAUUAGAGGCUUUUAAACAGGUGACUUAAAGGCUACAUUCCCUGUGUUCUCUGUUGGAGUUGUGAUUCACUUGUUAAUUUGGGAGAUAUUCAUUUCUGAGAUCUUCUGGUGCUAUCCCCAAAGUCUGGAUAAUUUCAUUCCUAAAGUGAGUGUGUACUCAGGGACAGAUAACUCUGUCUAUGAUGGGGAAGAAAGGUAAUAAUCCUGUUUGACCUCUUUGGUAUUCCUUGAGCAGGCCAAGCAAAGGUCCUGCCUCACGGUGUUGCGGAAAGCCAUGAGGUGAGCAGCUCUGCUAUAUGGCCUAUAGCAAUGUUCUCACUGAGUUGCUUAGGACCUCUCUCUUGCUGAGGCUGGCUUUGAACUCGUGAUCCUCUUGCCUCCCAAGUCACUGGGAUUACAGGUGUGCACCACUGCACCUGGCUUUGACCUAUGCUUUUGACCGGCUAAAAAUCAGGGUUUCCAGGACACCCUCCUCAGCUUUAAUUUAUUAUUGUGACUUACAGAACUCAGGGUCAUGCUUUACUUAAUAUCCUUUACUAUUAUAAAGGAUAUUACAAAGGAUAUGGAUGAAUAGCCACAUGGAAAAGAUGCAAUAAAGACAUCUGAGAAGGUAUAUGGAAGCUCCACCGUUGGCCAUUGAUUAUCUACUUGGCCAUUGGUUAUCUAUGGAGCCUUCAGCCCUGCUCCCUUCCCCAGUGGUGGGAGGAAUGGAGGGGUUGCUGAAAGCUCCAGCCUCUCAUCUUUGAUGUCCCUUGGUGGGUCCCCUAUCCCUGCCCCCAUAACCAGCCUCCCUCCCGAGGCUGCCCAGGAGCACCCUCUUCAGUCAUCUCAUUAGCAUACAGGAAGACACUUAUUACUUUGGAAAUCUCAAGGGUUUCAGGAGCUAUGUUCCAGAAACCAAGCAGAGAUCAAAUAUGCACAGUAUUUAUCAUAUCACAGUAUCAUGAUAGUCCUAAGGUAUAAUCCGUCAUUAUUAUUGGAGUCUUCAACUAAAACAGUGCUUUGUGGUCUAGGUGCUAACAUGAGGAAGAAUUUCAAAGCAGAAUUAAAUCACCUAGUAACCGAAGUUAAUGUCAAUUUGAGAAUACAUUUCCAUUUUGACUUGAAGUCUUAAUAUGUGUGAUAAAAGAAUUAGCCACAAACCAAUUAAGAACAUGGAUGUGGUUUUCUCUAACUGGAAAAUAUUCAAAGGUGCCCCACUUACCUAUAACCGUAGUUGUCAUUUCCUUAUUUUCACAUUUGAAUUCUUCUUUAAUAUAAGGUUAGCAUAUCUUCUAGUAAGUUCUCUGUUAGUGGGGCCUAGCAGGCAUUUGAACCUAAGUCUGUCUUUAAAACCAAAGCUCUGUUAGUGUAUUUACGCUCCCUUUUAUUUCAUAAAGAAUACAAGUCAGUUACAUAAACAAGGCAUAAUUUAAUUUUAUUUUGUGGUAUGGGUACUGAGCUCAGGGUUCUCUAUCACUGAGCUAUAUCCCUUCCUUCUUAUUUUUUUAUUUUGAGAUAGGGGUUCACUAAGGCUGGCCUUCAACUUGUGACCCUCCUGCCUCAGCCUCCUGGCUGGGUUUACAGGUGUGCACCAUUAUACCCAGCCAUAGUUUAACUUUAGAUACAAGCAAUAGCCUUCUGCUCCUUGCUUUUUUUUCUCAUUUACUCAUUUAUUUAGGAUAACAACAACGCUACUCUAUCAUCCUUAUUUUACAGAUGAUUAAACUGAAGUAUAUAGUGGUUAAGUAACUUGCCCCAAGUCCUACACCUUAUCAAAGGGCCUAACAGGCAUUCGAAAUUAGGGCUCUCUGUAAAACCCAAGCCCUGUGUUUUAAAUUACCAUGAUAUGUCUUUCUUAUUACCCCAUGGUAUUGGUAGUCACCUCACUGCUGGUGAGAGGAAAGAGGCAGUACUGGAAAAUGCACUUGAACUUGACCUAAGGGCACAAGAAUAGUUGUUGUACCUGCAAGUAUGUAGCCCCUUCCCACACCCCAAGGACUAUCAACCUGAGAGGUUGUCUUGCUCCUCUAUAGAUAAAGAUUGAUUUAAUUUCUGAAGCAUUUUAAUUCAUAGAUGACUUUGUUGGUGGUAGCCUAAGGCAAGCAUGUCAUUUGAAUUCUGAAAGAUGUAAGUGGCUGGGAGACUGUGGGACUGAAGAAAUUUAGGAUUAUUGAAAAGAAUACAGUAAUAACAGGACCCAGAGAGGAAGGAACCCUAGGGAUGAGAUGAUAGUGAUUUUCAAGUUUAUCUUCCCCACAGAUCUUAUCAAGCCAGUCUCCUGGGACAGAGAACAAUUGACAGUGUUAGGUAAAGAAAUAGGGUUGGAGCUGCUUCAGUAGCAUAAACACCAUAAUUAGAAUAAUACAAAGACCAUGCACAGGACCUGUGAUCAAAGAUGAUAUGCAAAUUUGUGAAGUAUUUCCACUCAUUAAAAGUAAGAAUUUAGAAUACUCAGUUUUCAUUGUUUUUCAAAUUCCAAGGCCAUUUUCCUUCUAAAUUAGUAUAUAUGUAUUAUUAGAUUUCACAGUAUAAUACAAUUAGAAGUCUAUAAAUAAGGUGUCAAAUGGAUAAUAUAAAGCCUAAACUAUCACCAUAGUCUCAAAACAGGAAGGAAAGAUAAAAAAGAAUAUUUUAAAGCAUGCUUACCCUUCUUGGUAACUGGUUGGCUCUUACGAGUGACAGAAAGUUAUUAAGAAUGGUGAGGUUUAACUUCCUAUCCUUGUGGUUCCCAUUCCCAUUCUUCCAAUUAUGUAGAGUUACACCAUAUAUGAACAUAGGAAUGUCAUCCUCACCCUUCACCCUACUCCUGGCAGAAAUGUCUGACUUCAGAAUCCCUGCACUGAACCCGUGCAACCCUUGCUCCAAGAGGCAGCUCUUUUAUUCCAAGCCAUGUCAGGACUGACUUGAUCAAUGGGCACAGUAAGCACACUGCCUAUGCCUCACAUGCUUUUGGGGAGUCCAUGAAAAUAUUUAAUUUCCUUUAAAAUCAGAAGAGAAAAAUGAACUGUUAGGAUAAAUAAAAUGGUUUAAUAUAUAAUAAUAAUAUAUUUUUCUUUAUAUCAACACGGUUUUAAAACAAUAGUCUGUGAUUAUAAGCACGUGUAUGUAUGUAUGUAUACAUGUACAUAUGUGUGUUUAUACAUAUUUUAUAUAUUUCUAUUUACACACACUUUUUUUAAUGGAGAAAAAAAGGUCUUAUGAAGGCCAAAGUGUUUAGAUCCAAAUGAAGUCAUAACGUGGCCCUUGUCAGAUUUGAAUUUGUUUUUAAAAAUUCAGAAAAUGAAAUCAAAUUUGCUUAAUUUCAGUAAAAGAUUAUAUAUCUGAAAGCAGAUUUUAAAUGGUGGCAUCAAAAACUUUGGGAUGUGGGAUGGAGCCCCAGGACUACCAAAAAAAAAAAAAAAUCUGAAAAAAUGAGUUCAAACUGAAUAGAAGUUGGUGAUUUUUUUUCCUUCUUUUUUCAAGUUUAGAGACAGAAGAAGAGCAACAGUAUCUUGCCACAAACUGUAUUAACAUCUCCAUGGACUCACUGCAAGCAGGCAGGCAGUAUUUGGUUUGGGUUCAAGCUGCAAAUGCAUUAGGCGUGGAGGAGUCAGAACCACUCCAGAUCCAUCUGGAUGAUAUAGGUAAAGAACAAGCAACUCCAUAGUGUCUUUAAUGAUAGACAACUACUUGUGCUAACCUAGUCAAUGAAGUCUAGAUCUGAAAGAAGAUUCUGCAUAUCAUGAUGGAUAAAAUAGAUAUCAUUCGUAAUUCCUCCUGCCCAAAGCAACUUGGAGAUGAAAGUUGCCAACAGCAAGCCAACCAUGCUAUUGUAUACCCUUCCUGUCUGAUUUCUACUUAGGUGUAUGUGCUUACAGUUCACAUACAUGUAUGUGAAUUGUGCUUACAGUUCUGUUGGGAACUUCCUGUUUCCAAGUGUUUUUCUAAGGGCCAGGGACAGUAAGAUAGACAAGGAAAGUGCUCUAUAAUAAUUUGCAAUCUACCAAGGAGGAGAAACAAGGAUUAAAAUAAAUUAUGAUGUGUCUUAUAUUGUGAGAAGUACAGCAUACUAGGAAAUUACUCUCUAUACACUAUCUGGGGCUUACAAGGGGGAUUUUGUCUUCAUCUUUACAUAUUAUAAAAUACAAUGAAAAUUACAGCAAAUUUUAUAGACAUCCAUAAGUUGACAGUCAGAUAUAACAAAUGUUAGGAUGUUUUGCUUCAGAUAUUUUUAGAUCUUAAUUCUUUUACAUAAAAUAUAUAAUAAACAUUUCUAUCAACUUAAUCUACAAUAUUAUUUUUAGUGUUGUCUGAGUAUAGAAUAGUUUAAUCCCUUCUUAUGGAGGUUUAUGGUGUUUUCAAUUUCUCAUCAUUAUAAACUAUAUUACCAUGAACACCUUAUUGCUAAAUUUUAUUAUUAUAAAAUAAUAAUAUCUUUAUUAUUUUCUAAAAAUAAAUUCCAAAAAGUGGGGCUGGGGUUGUGCCUCAGUGAUAGAGUGCUUGCCUAGCACAUGUGAGGCACUGGGUUCAAUCCUCAGCACCACAUAAAAAUAAGUAAAUAAAUAAAUAAAAGUAUGGAAAAGCAUACAGUGCUUAUACAUUAAAAAAAAUUCAAAAAGUAAUUAUCCUUAAGCUUCUUACAAUUACACCCAAGCCCUAAAAUCAGAACUCAGAGCAUCAAGUAGGAAUUGCUCUGCCUUUAAAGGUCCUAGCACCAAUGAUUCCUCAUGUGCUAAUUGCUUUUACAUCCUAUUUUGUAGAAGAUAUUAUAAUUUGCAUAAGGAAAGCAAGGCUUGGUGGCAUUAAAAAUGUUUACAUUACAGAGCUAGGGAUUGCUUAAUUCCAAUCUUCUUGAAUCUUGUCCUUAGACUUUAUGAGAAUUUUUUUAAAAAAUCAUAAUGUGUCUGAAAACUUUCCUGCUGAAUGGCGUAUGGGAAGUGAAGCCUUCUCUUGGGGUACCACACAGGUAGGUACUCUUUGGGCAUCACUGCAGUCUUCUAUAGCAAGUAAUAUCUCAACUUCUAAACUAACCACAACUAGCUCAGAUAACUAGAUUGUCUAAGAAUCUGUCCCAUGCUCUGAAUACUGGAUUUGGCUAUGGUGAUGAACACCAGAGCCAUUUCUUUGUAUAUUCUUGGAGUUGUAGUUCUCUUCAUCACGAUCUACACAUUUUUGCAAGUUUGUAUUUUGAGGUAGAAUGCAAUAAUAUAUCCUUUUUUUGAAAGCAGAUUCCUCUUGAUGGAUUAAUGAAGUAGAAAGGCUGUUAUGACUGGUGCCCUUUUUAGGAAUAAUUAUAACCAGUAAAUGAUAAUUCUAAAUUAUGACCAGGAGUAGUAUUACUGUUGUUGUUAUCAUUUUGAUCUUAAUAUCAUCUCACCUGUUUAUUGAACACCUAUUGUGUUUCGAACACUUAACAUACAUAUCACAUUUAAUUUUGGAAACAAGCAUAUAUGGUAGUACUGUCCCAUUUUAUAGAUGAGGAAAAGUGAUAAAAAUUUCUCCCUAGGCCAGUUUCUAAAUUCCUAAGAAUUUCUUUCUUUUUCUAGUGAUUCCUUCUGCAUCCAUCAUCGCAAGAGCUGAAACUAUAAAUGCUACAGUAGCCAAGACCAUAAUUCACUGGAAUAGUGAAACAACAAUUGAAAAGGUUUCCUGUGAAAUGAGACAUAAGGCUACAAUAAACCAAACUUGGAAUGUAAGCUAAAUUUUCAUUAUUCUUUAGCAUGUGAGUGAAUGGUUUAAAAGAAAAGCCUACUCCCAGUGUUCACAGUGGACUCAUUAAUGAUUUAUUUUACAUGUUUCUGAUUAUUUGUGUGAUUUUCAAACUACUCUAGUUUUUUUUUUUUUUUUUGAUGUGGUUUGGUUUGGGUUUCUUGGUACCAGGGAUUGAACCCAGAGGUGCUUUCCUACUGAGCUACAUCCCCAGCCCUUUUAAAUUUUAUUUUGAGAAAGAUUCUAGCUAAGUUGCUGAGGCUGACCUCAAAAUUGUCAUCCUCCUGCCUCAGCCACUGGAGUCACUGGGAUUACAGGCAUGUGCUAUCUCACUGGGCUCAAGCCACUCUAGCUUUAAUAAUGAUUGCCAUAUGCUUCCAGAGAGCUAUUUCCUGAAAAAGAUCCUCAUCCCUUUUGUAAAUUGUUAAACAAACCAAAUAUACAACUAAAGAGGAAUCUAAUUUUAGUUCCUUGUAAUUAAUUCACUGUCUCUUAGGGGAAAUUUACAUCUAUGAUCCUGGAUAUAAAAUUUAAAUAUUCUAUGCUAAAAUCUGACAGGCAUCCAGGGAAAUUAAAAAUUGUUCAGAAUGGAAAACUUAGACUUAAGGAUCUCUCUCUCUCUCUCUCUCUCUCUCUCUCUCUCUCUCUCAAUAUUUUUUAGUUGUAAAUGGAUCUUUUAAUUAAUUAUUAAUUAAUAUGCAGUGCUGAGUAUCAAACCCAGGACCUCACACAUGCCAGGCAAGUGCUUUACCACUGAGCCACAACUCCAGCCCCAAGAAUGUCUCUUUUUAAAUAAAAAAUGUACAAUUCAUAGUGGAAAACUCAUUACUAAUACAGGCCUCAGCCUUGGAUUAACUUAAAACAAAAACUGAAUAUCUAGAAAACAAACUAUUCUUAAGUACCAAGUGCAAAUUUAUCAAGUGGGGAGAGGCACAGAUAUAAGCUUCCUUAAUAAAUUUAUGUGACAGCACCAAUAUAAUUAAAACUCACUAAUUUGAACUUGUAUGACUUAGAGGAAAGUUCCAAUUUUGNAGUGAAGCCUUCUCUUGGGGUACCACACAGGUAGGUACUCUUUGGGCAUCACUGCAGUCUUCUAUAGCAAGUAAUAUCUCAACUUCUAAACUAACCACAACUAGCUCAGAUAACUAGAUUGUCUAAGAAUCUGUCCCAUGCUCUGAAUACUGGAUUUGGCUAUGGUGAUGAACACCAGAGCCAUUUCUUUGUAUAUUCUUGGAGUUGUAGUUCUCUUCAUCACGAUCUACACAUUUUUGCAAGUUUGUAUUUUGAGGUAGAAUGCAAUAAUAUAUCCUUUUUUUGAAAGCAGAUUCCUCUUGAUGGAUUAAUGAAGUAGAAAGGCUGUUAUGACUGGUGCCCUUUUUAGGAAUAAUUAUAACCAGUAAAUGAUAAUUCUAAAUUAUGACCAGGAGUAGUAUUACUGUUGUUGUUAUCAUUUUGAUCUUAAUAUCAUCUCACCUGUUUAUUGAACACCUAUUGUGUUUCGAACACUUAACAUACAUAUCACAUUUAAUUUUGGAAACAAGCAUAUAUGGUAGUACUGUCCCAUUUUAUAGAUGAGGAAAAGUGAUAAAAAUUUCUCCCUAGGCCAGUUUCUAAAUUCCUAAGAAUUUCUUUCUUUUUCUAGUGAUUCCUUCUGCAUCCAUCAUCGCAAGAGCUGAAACUAUAAAUGCUACAGUAGCCAAGACCAUAAUUCACUGGAAUAGUGAAACAACAAUUGAAAAGGUUUCCUGUGAAAUGAGACAUAAGGCUACAAUAAACCAAACUUGGAAUGUAAGCUAAAUUUUCAUUAUUCUUUAGCAUGUGAGUGAA